rnacentral:lncRNA from 1 species
CUGGCCAGCUCCUUGGCCACCCCCUGGUUGGGGCAGGUGACGAAGGCGGCCACCAGGCUGCCGGGGACGAAGGCGGCGCCGUCGGCGUCAGCCAUGGAGAGCAGGCGGCGGCCCAGCGCCCGCAGCAGCGGCACCGUCGUCACCGUCACCAGCGCCAGCGCCACCGCCUGCGGGCACAGCGCCACGUCGCGAUACUGGCACGUCGCGAUACCCAGCACGUCGCGAUACCCAUUAUGGCACCUGGCGUGUCACGAUAUCUGGAAUCUCACCAUGCCCAGCACGUCACGAUACCUGGCAUGUCGUGAUACCCGCCACAUCGUGACACCCAUUGUGGCACCUGGCAUGUCACGACACCUACAAUCUUGCCAUACCCGACAUGUCGUGAUACCCAACGUUAUGGCAUCUGGCAUGUCAUGAUACCUGGAAUCUUGCCAUACCCGACGUGUCAUGAUACCCCACGUUACGGCACCCAGCGUGUCGUGAUACCUGGAAUGUCACCAUGCCCGGCAUGUCGCGAUACCCAAUGUUACGGAACCCGGCAUGUCACAACACCUGGAAUGUCACGAUAUGUAUCGCACUGCACGAUACCUGCCAUUGAUAGCCAGCACGUCACGAUACCUAACAUGUCACAGUACCCAGCAUGCUGCAUGGUAUCUGACAUGUUACGACACCUGCAUGUCACGAUACCCAGCAUAUCACGAUAGCUGGUACAUCGAGAUACCCAGCACAUCCCAGGACAUCUGACACGUUACAACGCCCAACAUGUCGCGAUACCUGGCAUACCAUGAUACCGGGCAUGCUGCAGAACAUCUGACGUGCUACAAUACCCGGCAUGUCGCGAUACCCAGUAUGUCACGAUGCCUGGCAUGUCAUGAUACACAGCACGUCGCGAUACCCAGCACGCUGUGGUACCAGACAUAUGACGAUGCCUGGCAUGUCACGAUAUCCACCAUGUCGUGCGUUAUCUGACAUCUCACAAUACCCACCGCGUCACGAUAUCCAGCCUGGUGCAACCAUGAUGUGUCGGGUAUACCAGGCACAUCGUGUGANNNNNNNNNNNNNNNNNNNNCAACCAUGAUGUGUCGGGUAUACCAGGCACAUCGUGUGACACCCAACACACCGUGACAGUCUGUCGCGAUACCCAGCAUAUCGCGACACACAACAUGUUGCUAUAUCAACCUGGCUAUAUCACGAUAAGGUAUGUCACGUUGCCCAGCAGUGGCACUGUGAAACCCGGCAUGUCACAACAGUCAGCGUGUUGCAACAGCUGCUAACAACACCGUGAAAGUGUGGACACUGAUGUACCGGCACGUCGCGACAGCUGGUUGCAGCGCUGGGAUGCUGGCAUGUCACGAUGCCCAGCAUGUCGUGAUACCAACUGUGUCGUGACGCCAGACCGUGGCACCAUGAUGCCUAC